UACGUAGGGGGCAAGCGUUGUCCGGAAUCAUUGGGCGUAAAGAGCGUGUAGGCGGCCAGGUAGGUCUGGUGUGAAAACUCGAGGCUUAACCUCGAGAUGUCAUCGGAAACCAUCUGGCUAGAGUCCGGAAGAGGAGAGUGGAAUUCCUGGUGUAGCGGUGAAAUGCGCAGAUAUCAAGCAGAACACCUGCGGCGAAGGCGGCCUUCUGGACGAUGACUGACGCUGAGACGCGAAAGCGUGGGGAGCAAACAGG
rnacentral:rRNA from 1 species